rnacentral:pre_miRNA from 1 species
ACAACAUUAGGACCGCCCGUCUACCGAGUAAUAUCACCCGCUCGGUAGAAGAUUUUUCUUUUAGUCGU